rnacentral:lncRNA from 1 species
AUUUGUAGUAUGUUAAUAAAGUUCAUCUAGGUCACCUGAACUCUCUUUCAAUUGUUUAGUAAAUUACUCACUGAGGGGCUGAAUUGAGCAAAGGUGGGAAAUUAUUUAAACAUGCUAGUGGCUGGCUGGUAUCCAAGCACGAGAAGAGUCCGUGCAGCAGCUAACAAGUGGCCUGGGGACACCACAGAGGUGGGACAGGAUGGCGGGGACUCGAGGGUUCAGCUACUGGGCCUGGGCAUGUUGUGCAUUCAGCCCUUCCAGCAUCCUCCUCCAGGUACAAGAUGGGAAGACACAGCUCACUCCAGUCCUGCCUGUGCAGGUUUUCUCCCACCCUUGCUCUUGGAGUGGGUGUGCUGCUUCUGUCCGCAGCAUCCCUGGCUCUGCCCUAUAGGAUGCCAGCCUGGUCCCUAUCCUUCUAUUCAGCAGAAGUGGAAAAACAAACACUCCGAACACUUUGCAUUUGCUUGUAAUGCCUCUUUGACACCGUAUCACAAGAGCUGUCAGAGCCAUAACAUGCAACAUCAAAUUAACAUUUGUGUUUUCUGAAAUGGUAAUUAUACCCUUUUGUACUGUGCUGAGCUUGUAUUUUUUGAAGUGUAAACGUGGAAGUGGCAUUGAAGGUGUAUUUCUGAGCCAUCGGUAUGGGGCAUUUGCCCAAGAGCUUGGUGGGGAGGCUUCUGCAGAUCCAGCAGACCGCAAGUUGAACAUGAACCAGCAAGGCUUGGCACAGGACUGUUGUGGCUCACAGGCAGCCACAGCUGUGAAAUUUGUGUCCUUUCAAAAAUGACUCAGAGCAUCCCCUGAUGGACAGCAGGGUGUGGUUCUUGGCCCAGCGGGAGCAAGUCUGGAAACCAAACAUUGAAGCUUGGGUUUGAUAAAUGGGCUGAUACGGCACAGUGCCUGCAGGGGCAGGAGGCUGCACGCAGUGAUGUGCAUGCUUUCAUUCAGUCUUUGUUCUCAUUAGCAUGUGAAGACUGGCCAGAAAUCCAUCACCCAUUCGAGGUAGAUAGAAGACACCUGAUAAGGUAGAGAAGGCAGAGCCAUUAACCUGAAGAAGCAGACUGAUGUUCUCUUCCUGCUGAAGCAUAUCACAACAGAUGACAAGAGACACAGGCAUGUCCUGGGUGCAGUCUCUAAUCAUGCAGAAGGGGAAGCAAUGCUGCACAGCACUAAACCGGUUACUUCCGUAGCAGCAGGCUUGAAGGAGAGCAUCUCUGCCUACCUGUGAUGCGUGUAAGGCCUCCAUCACUUUCAUCUCUUUAAUGCUGAACUUGCAACAGCUCUGUGAAGCUGAGCGGUGCUGUCAGUCCCCCAUCACAGCAGGCAAAGUGCCUGCAUACCUUCAGACACCUUUUCUCCCUGCUGUGGCUGAAUGUACAAUACAGAAGGAGAGGUACACCACGGUGGGGAGCCUGGAGCUGAAGUGGGAGCAGUGGGAAAGCCCCUUGUGUGCCACGUUGUGACGGGACCUCCACCCUGAGAGAGGCUGGUUGCUGGGCUGAGGCUGAAGGCUGAGGUCGCAUCCAUAAAUGAGGGUCAGCUCUGGCGCUUGUGGACAUGGGUACCUGGGUACCGCCCACCCAAAGAAGGCUGCGCUCUGCAGGGGGACGCCGUGUACCAUGCAGGGGGGCAGCGCUCCCUUAUGUUCCCUUUCCGUCCUGUGAAGCAAGCACUGUGCUGGGGGCACUGCUGCUUCCUCUGGUAGUCCAGUGAGUCUCACCUGUGGCCAAAGGUGAGGUAUUUUAAAAAGUAAGAUUGGGAAGAUAAAGAAGAGAACCAGUCUUUCAGCGACACAAAGUCGUCUGCCCUCACAGAAACCGUAGGUGCACACCUUUUUGUUCUUUCCCCUCUAUGCCCAGCAUUUCCAAACAAAGGCCAGGAUAUAUUCUUCCUCUGGACCCUGAAGGGCAGAUAAUCACCUGCCUUUCAGGCAGCUGCCUCCUGACAUGUACUGAGCAUGGACCUUGUGUGCAUACACCCCUGUGUAACAUGUCUGCAAAGCAAGUAACAGACACUUCUCUUUUGGGGUCUCUGUGUCAGUGUAAAAAUGGUACUGCACAAAUGCAUCCAAUACCUUCACCUACCAUUUUAUGAGCUCUUCACAUUUAUGAGCUGCUGGAAUUCUACACGCAUUUCGUAUUGCCAUAGCUACUAAUUAUUAAUAACACCCUGCAACGAAGGCUAACAGCGUGCCUCUGGAGGGAGGGGAAGUUCUGUAGCUUUUGGCUCUGGCCACAUCAUUAUUCAGCAUCAAACCUGAAGUCUCCUGAUCGGCCCAAGACAUGGAAACUGCCCCUUUCAGCCUGCAAUGAAGCAGGGCAGAUCUGUACAGGAGUUCACCACCUCUUUCCACCCCUACCCCAUUGGCUUUCUCUCCUUAUGGAAGGGGUUAAGCCUUAAUAUGCCUCCACUGUUCCCCAUCUUUUCUUGUGACGCUGAGGUGGCCGUUCAGGCAGCUCCACUAUUACGAACAUGCACAAAAAAAAAAAAAAAAAAAAGUCAUUACAGAAUAAAGAUGUUACAGAACAGAAUAAAGUCUGCUCA